AUAGAUAAAGUAUAAGUGUAUUAUUAAAAUAUAAUUAUAAAUUCAUUGGGUAACUAUUUACGCAAAAAAAAAAACCAAGAAAAAACUGAACUUUGUAUAUUGCAUUCUGUUUAAUGUCUAAUAAGAACAAUAGUCACAAGAAUCACACAAAAUUGGUACACGCCAAGUAUAAAUUUCUAUGUGGUAAAUUGCAUCUAGCAGAUAAAUCAU